AGAAUAAGAAUCACAGAAUCAUUCAGGUUGGAAAAGACCCUUGGGGUCAUCGAGUCCAACCAUCAGCCCUAGUCUACAGAGUUCUCCCCUACAUCAUAUCCCCCAGCAUCUCAUCUAAACGACCUUUAAACACAUCCAGGGAUGGUGACUCCAUCACCUCCCUGGGCAGCCUACUCCACUGUCUGAACACUCUUUUCUGUGAAUAAUUUUUUCCUAAUGUCCAGUCUGAACCUCCCCUGUUGGAGUUUAAAGCCAUUCCCCCUUGUUCUG